CCUACGGGAGGCAGCAGUGAGGAAUAUUGGGCAAUGGAGGCAACUCUGACCCAGCCAUGCCGCGUGAGUGAAGAAUGUCUUCUGAUUGGAAAACUCUUUCUGUUUUGACAUUGAUUACUCUAGCAUCGAAAUAAGCCCCGGCUAACUUCGUUCCAGCAGCCGCGGUAAUACGCAGGGGGCAAGCGUUGUUCGGAAUUACUGGGCGUAAAGGGAGUGUAGGCGGUUUAGUAAGAUAGUGGUGAAAUCCCAGGGCUUAACUUUGGAAUUGCCAUUAUAACUAUUAGACUAGAAUUACAGAGAGGUUAGUGGAAUACGCAGUGUAGAGGUGAAAUUCGUAGAUAUUGGGUAGAACACCAGUGGCGAAGGCGACUAUCUGGACGUAAAUUGACGCUGAGGCUCGAAAGCAUGGGGAUCAAACAGGAUUAGAUACCCCAGUAGUC
rnacentral:rRNA from 1 species